UUGCAAUGAUGUAUGAAUUUCUUCACCUGAAUCAAUGCUGAAGAGCAAAAAUGAGCUUUUUAACACUGAGCAAU
rnacentral:snoRNA from 1 species